rnacentral:rRNA from 1 species
UCUGACCUACGGGACGCAGCAGUGGGGAAUAUUGCACAAUGGGGGAAACCCUGAUGCAGCAACGCCGCGUGAGUGAAGAAGUAUUUCGGUAUGUAAAGCUCUAUCAGCAGGGAAGAAAAAAGACGGUACCCGCAGAAUAAGCAUCGGCUAACUCCGUGCCAGCAGCCGCGGUAAUACGGAGGAUGCGAGCGUUAUCCGGAUUUAUUGGGUUUAAAGGGUGCGUAGGCGGAUUUUUAAGUCAGCGGUAAAAUGUCCGGGCUCAACCCGGGCCGGCCGUUGAAACUGGGGAUCUUGAGUGGGCGAGA